CUUUCAGCCUUUUUCACAGUCCGUCUCUCGUCUCAGAAUCUCAUUCCCUUUGUGAAACUUCCAUACUUCUCUCACUCCUUUUGAACCCUCAGCCCCACUCGCCACCUUCACAUAAAACAAUCUCAAUCUCCCCCAAACACUCAAAUUAGGGCACUGUGUUUGAAAGCUCCACAUUGACGAUUUCUUCGAGGGCGCAGUUGAGGCGUUUCUUGUUGGAGAAGUAUGAGUUUGGGGCUUACAAAGUGGAAUUGCUGUGUUAGGUUGCGGAAUUAAGUAGCAGAGAUGAUUGCAGAGAAGCCCAGUUGGAUUAGGCAUGAGGGUUUGCAAAUUUUCUCCAUUGAUGUUCAGCCUGGUGGGCUUAGGGUUGCCACUGGUGGGGGUGACCACAAGCACCCAAUUUCAUUGACUGGGAAUGUCUUGCACCUGUUGGGUGGACCAAUGGCACUUCAAAAAUAGCAAUCGGGGGUCAGGAUCAUACAAUAACUUUAUGGACGACUGCAAGUCCCCGCCCUCUCUUUGUAGCAAAGCAUUUCUUCACUCAUUUAAAGUGUUGUGGAUUUAUCUUGGAGCCCCGAUGGUUAUUCACUUUUCGCAUGUUCUUUGGACGGUUCAGUGGCUACUUUCCAUUUUGAGGUGAAAGAGCUUGGCCACCAGUUAAGUGAUGCUGAACUAGAUGAAUUAAAGAGAAGUCGUUAUGGUGAUGUUACAGGUAGGCAGGUAAACUUAGCAGAAACCCCAGCACAGUUAUUGCCUGAGGCAGCUUCUGCUAAGCAAGCCCCAAAGAGAAAAGUGGUUCGGGAUGUUCAGCAAAGCCAGACAGUCAAACCUUCUGCGGAUGUGGUGGUUGCAACAAAAGUAUCUGAGGGUCAAGUUGAUGAUAGGAAGAAGAGUGGAGGAGCUUCUAGUGAUGUUUUAAAUAAAGUUUCAAUGCCUGCCCGCAUUUCUAGUCCUGUAAAGAAAAGAGAAUAUAGACGACCUGAUGGUCGAAAGAGGAUUAUUCCAGAGGCAGUUGGUGUGCCUCUCCAGAAGGAAAAUAUUUCUGUUGGGGCUCAGUCCCAGGCACUUGACUUCCCUCUAAUGCCUUCUGAUCACAGAAAGGAUGAUAGUGGGUUAGUUGCUGCUGAUAGGGGGAUUAAAGAAAAUUCUAUCAGGGAAACACUUGUGAGAGGCAAUGACAUAAAGGACGAACAGGGGGUCACCGCUAGAGCUAUGAUUACCAACAGCCUUGUUAUUGAGAAGGUUCCCACCUCCACAGGUAGAGAUGAAAGCAUAAAUAUAGAACAGUCAGGAGCUGUAAAGGCUUCUAAUUCAAUAUGUGAUUCUAGUCCUAUUCUUUCAAUUAGGGUGCUUGACAAGAAGAAAACGGAAGAUGCUGUACCAUAUUGCUUGGAAGCUCGGCCUAAGGAACAUGCUGCAAAUGACAUUAUUAACAUGGGAAAUUCAUUGAUCAUGAAAGAAACAGAAAUCACCUGCACAAAAGGGUUGCAAAUCUUUGGUCUGAUAGAAUAUCUGGGAAAGUCACUGUUUUAGCUGGAAUUGCAAACUUCUGGGCUGUGGGAUGUGAAGAUGGAUGCAUCCAGGUUUACACAAAGUGUGGGAGACGUGCUAUGCCGACUAUGAUGGUAGGAUCCGCAGCAGUUUUUAUAGAUUGUGAUGAGUGCUGGAAGUUGUUUUUGGUCACCAGAAAAGGAUCCUUGUAUCUAUGGGAUCUAUUAAAGCGGAAUUGUCUCCUUCAUGACUCGCUGUCAUCUCUGGUUGCUUUAAACCCAAAUCCAUCUGCAAACGAUGCAGGCAUGAUCAAGGUUAUAUCAGCAAAGCUAUCAAGAUCUGGAUCUCCUCUUGUUGUUCUCGCUACUCGCCAUGCCUUCCUCUUUGACAUGGGACUGAUGUGUUGGCUUAGGGUUGCAGAUGACUGCUUUUCUGGGUCAAAUUUUGCAAGCUCCUGGCAUUUGGGUUUGACUCAGAGCGGUGAGCUGGCUGGUUUGCAGGUUGAUGUUAAGAAAUAUUUGGCUAGGAAGCCAGGUUGGAGCAGGGUGACUGACGAUGGAGUAUAGACACGUGCUCAUUUGGAAACUCAGCUGGCUUCUUUGCUGGCUUUAAAGUCCCCUAAUGAAUAUCGCCAAUGCCUUCUAUCAUAUAUACGGUUCCUUGCCAGAGAAGCAGAUGAGUCUCGUCUACGAGAAGUUUGUGAGAGUUUCCUUGGACCUCCUACUGGAAUGGUGGAAGCUACCUCUUUAGAUUCAAAGAACUUGGCAUGGGAUCCUUUUGUGCUUGGACCUUUGGGCUUCAUCCCAAAUUUUGGAAGGCUAGGAUCUUGGAAUGUGAUCAUGUUUCUAACCUUUGAUCUUGGAAUAUAGAAAGAAAGAAGACGGCAUCUUGCUUCUGCGGAUGGUAUUGCCCAUGGUUUUGAUCUGAUGGGAGAUGAAGACAUCAACGACCGUUUUGAUCUGGAUUCUGCCGACACAGAGGAAAAGAGAGAAAUAUCAGCCUCUGGAAAUUGACCUAGCCCAUGAAGCUACUUCGUAUAUGUAAUUUUGCUGACGGAGUCUUCAACAUCAGGGGUAACUCAUUUCAUAUAAGAAUAUUUUGUAGACAAUGUCUGUUGGAAGCAUGUUGUGCACCACAUCGAAGCAUGUAAGGUUGUCCUGCCUGGACAUGCUGAGUUUGAGGCAUGUGAUAUUAUCUUGCCUUCAGAACCUUACUCCACAAGGACUCUGGGUUUUUGAUCAAGCGCUAGCACUGCUUUGCCAAGAGGGCCUUGUUAUAUGUCAAAAGCUCUUUAAAGCCAAUACCCUCCUCUAACAUACUUUUGCAGAGAAUAUCCCAUGCUUUCCAGUGAAUUUUUCCUUUUGUGCCAUUUGAUCCCCACCAGAAAUUGGCAAUAUCAGAGUUUCAUUGUUCAUUUGGCUAUAACACUUUGAUCUCAAGUAAUUGCUAAAAACUACUCCCAAACGUCAUAAUUGUCGAAUUAUCCUAGAGUUUGCAAAAUGAGGUUAGGUGCUCAAUAAAAUGUCCAUUUCUUUUUUUGGGAGAAUAGCUUAAAACCGACAAUUUAUCAAUUUGACACGAAGUGCCGGUUUUAAGAAUUCCUAAACAGCUGUGAUUUUGAAAAAAUGGAUAACCGAUGUACCAAAAAGAUGAACCACCGAGGUGGACUGAAGUAAAAAAAUAUUCUGUUCAAAAGCCCAACAGCAGAGCCCACCCCACUAACUCAUAAUCGUUCAUAACCCAUUGCUCCUGCCCUUCUUCUUCGAACCCGCGAUACCCACCGUCUCACUCUGAAAGAGUCAUAGUCCCAACGAGGGCUCUCCCGGAGCAAAAAACUUGCCGGCGGAGACCGUCACAGUCGCUUGCCCUGACCACCUCGUCCUCGCCGACCUUCCGGUCUCGUCGUCAGCUCGGUGAACGUGUUCGCUGUGAUUUCCCGAUUGCUAUCUAUGGAAGACUAGCUAGGACCUUUGGGCUUCAUCCCAAAUUUUGGAAGGCUAGGAUCUUGGAAUGUGAUCAUGUUUCUAACCUUUGAUCAGCCAAUCGACCCUGAACUUUAUCGAUGAUGGAGGCAUAAGUGUGCUUGGUGACUCGAGAGUGCAGCAAAGGCAUCCCCAAGUAUUUGCCGAGGUUGGUAGUAAGAGCAGAACCACAAAUGGCACUUAUAUUUUUAGCAAGCAUUUUAUCAGUAUUAGGAGAACAAAAAAGCAUAGAUUUAUUGUAACUCACUUCUUGACCAGAGAGCUCACAGAACAAAUCAAGGCACUUCUUUAAAACUCUAGCUUGAUCACAAGUAGCUUCGGAGAAUAAUAUCAAGUCAUCUGCAAAAAAUAAAUGGGAGAUAAGUGGACCAGAUCCAGAUGCACUUUGAUCUCAAGUAAUUGCUGAAAACUACUCCCAAACGUCAUAAUUGUCGACUUAUCCUAGAGUUUGCAAAAUGAGUUUAGGUGCUCAAUAAAAUGUCCAUUUUUUUUGGGAGAAUAGCUUCAUUUUGUCAAUUUGACACGAAGUGUCGGUUUUAAGAAUUCCUAAACAGCUGUGAUUUUGAAAAAAUAGAUAACCGAUGUUAUGGUGCGGUUUUCGGUCAAUACCAAAAAAAAGAUGAACCACCCAGUCCACCUCAAGUAAAAAAAUUUCUGUUCAAAAGCCCAACAGCAGAGCCCACCCCACUAACCCAUAAUCGUUCAUAACCCAUUGCUCCUGCCCUUCUUCUUCGAACCCGCGAAACCCACCGUCUCACUCUCAAAGAGUCAAAGUCUCAACGAGGGCUCUCCCGGAGCAAAAAACUUGCCGGCGGAGACCGUCACAGUCGCUUGCCCUGACCACCUCGUCCUCGCCGACCUUCCGGUCUCGUCGUCAGCUCGGUGAACGUGUUCGCUGUGAUUUCCCGAUUGCUAUCUAUGGAAGACUAGGACCUUUGGCCUUUUAUGAGGGCUUCAUCCCAAAUUUUGGAAGGCUAGGAUCUUGGAAUGUGAUCAUGUUUCUAACCUUUGAUCAGGCAGGCUAAGAAGUUCAUGAAAAGUAUAGAGUCAAAAUGAGAAGUGAAGCCAAGAGAGUGGUUUUAGUUUGUAGAGAAAACAGUAGUUGUUUUAGAGAAUAAUAAGGACCUCGACAAACCUUUUUCUCCCAUAUUUCAGCUAGCUGAGAAGAAGAAUCCUCUGAAGGAAAACUGCUUACUGGAAACUUCAAAAUUUAGGAAAUAAUUAGCUUUCGUUUUCUGGAUUACAUAUCUUUCAUUGUCAUCAUAUAUUGAUGAGUUGUGAUUAUUAAAUUUGUCUAUCAAGGCUUUAAUUGCUUUGUUUGCAAAGCCAAAUGCUAAAUCUUUGUCGUCACCAAUGAAUGAUGGCUUGCAGACAUACUCUUGGAUUUUCUUUUCUGGUAGAUGAUUCAUCAGUUACUGAAAACGACGGUAUAACAUGAAUGCUGAUGCAUAUUUUUUAAACAGUAAAAGAAGG